GACUUGGUAGCUCAGUUGGUAGAGCAAAUGACUCUUAAUCAUUGGGUCGAGGGUUCAAGCCCCUCCCAGGUCA
rnacentral:tRNA from 1 species